rnacentral:lncRNA from 1 species
AGUAAAAUCGUUGAAAUUGUUGCUUGUUGCGUUUAUAUUUUUGUUCAGUGUAUAUAAACACUUCCUAAAGUGUUUGCAUUCCUCUUUAACCCAGUGUGUCACUAGUGUUUAUGUUAAUGUAAGCUAUAGGGCUCUAUUUUAAGAACCUAACUCUAUGGUAAACUUUAGUGCUGGCGGUAGCGCUAUAAAAUCGGGGGGCGGGGGUGUCAAGUUUUAGGUGUGUUGAGGCUUGACCCCUCACUGGCCAAUCAGAACAUGCUCAAUUGCUAAAUAUGUGGUUGCUUCAAGUUGUGUAUUUACGGUAUUUAAUGAAUUGCGUUGUCAUCAACUCCUAUUGGAAUGUUAGUCCGUUAUAACCGACAGAAACUAAAUAACAACAGUAAACAGAUGUAGAGUAUAUAAACCUACAACAUCUUUGCUAAAUAUUUUUAACAUGUUUGCAGUGCACAUUGUAAGAAGCCUAAAUGCGUGGCUUCAAUAUGGAAAUAUAUUGCUAAACAUACCAUUCGCACUAUUGAUAAAGCUAAGAAUGAGAGUGAAUAAUACACUUCUAAUCAAAACGUAACAACAAUUUGUUUUAAAUAGGCUAUGUUUAAAUACAGUUACAAGCACCAUACUUGCUCUCAGUGGGCGUAUAAUAUUAAGGUAGACUAUAUCAAGGCUUUUGACUCUCAGUAUAAUAUUAAGGUGGACUAUAUCAAGGCUUUUGACUCUCAGUAUAAUAUUAAGGUGGACUAAGUCAAGGCUUUUGACUCUCAGUAUAAUAUUAAGGUGGACUAUGUCAAGGCUUUUGACUCUCAGUAUAAUAUUAAGGUGGACUAUAUCAAGGCUUUUUGUCUCUCAGUAUAAUAUUAAUGUGGACUAUAUCAAGGCUUUUUGUCUCCCAGUAUAAUAUUAAUGUGGACUAUAUCAAGGCUUUUUGUCUCCCAGUAUAAUAUUAAGGUGGACUAUAUCAAGGCUUUUUGUCUCCCAGUAUAAUAUUAAGGUGGACUAUAUCAAGGCUUUUGUGCACAACCAAAAUAAUAGCGGGAGCUGUCUAAAAUAAGUGGUUAAAUAUGUGUCCAGAAAAACCUCAAUAUUUCCAAAGCUUUCUUAUAUCUCCUCGAUAAGGGACAGAUACUGUCUUUUUCCUCAUUAAUGAAUGUGUUAUUCAAAGCGUUUCUAUUGGCUAUCGUAGUAAAGGUUGUAUUCAAUAUUUCAUUUUUUACCUGAAGGUGUCCUAAAAUUCAAAAUCAAAUACCUAAAUGAUCCAUAGUAUGA